CCUACGGGCGGCAGCAGUAGGGAAUAUUGCUCAAUGGGCGAAACCCUGAAGCAGCAACGCCGCGUGGCGGAUGAAGGUUUUCGGAUUGUAAACCCCUUUUGUUAGAGAAGAAAAUGACGGUAUCUAACGAAUAAGCACCGUCUAACUCCGUGCCAGCAGCCGCGGUAAUACGGCGGGUGCAAGCGUUACUCGGAAGCACUGGGCGUAAAGGGCGCGUAGGGGGGAUAGCAAGUCCGAUGUGAAAUCCUAUGGCUUAACCAUAGAACUGCAUUUGAAACUGUUAUUCUAGAGUGUGGGAGAGGUAGGUGGAAUGCUUGGUGUAGGGGUAAAAUCCGUAGAGAUCAAGAGGAAUACUCAUUGCGAAGGCGACCUGCUAGAGCAUAACUGACGCUGAUGCGCGAAAGCGUGGGGAGCAAACAGGAUUAGAUACCCUUGUAGUC
rnacentral:rRNA from 1 species